GGUAGCAUUUUUCCUAAUAGAAUCAAGGCUGGAAGUAUCCAAAAUAUAGGAGAUCUUUUCUUGUACAAGAAUAAUACGUAAGUUCCUCAUCUAGUCCACAAUGUUCAGAUCGAUCAACUUAUUAUUAUCUAGAAUGCUUCGCAAUGAGAGUGAAGAAGGCAUAAUGAAAUUAUUUACAUAACAAGAACAACAUACAAUCAGACAACUCAU
rnacentral:lncRNA from 1 species